UUGGAUCACCUCCUAACAGGGAGACAACACAAUGAUUUUGAUGCCUGAGUACUUUUAUUCUUAGGCCGAAAUCCUGUCACCUUAGGUCGAUCGGUACCUCAGCUUUGAAGUCAAGGAUCAACAGCAACGUUGAUUGCUUGAUGGAGAUUUUCAGUUCCUAAACUUUGUCUAGGUCACACCCCAAAAGGGAUGAGACUCCUGGGCCAUUAGCUCAGGUGGUUAGAGCGCACCCCUGAUAAGGGUGAGGUCCCUGGUUCAAGUCCAGGAUGGCCCAUUCGGUGUUGGGGGUUUAGCUCAGUUGGUAGAGCGCCUGCUUUGCAAGCAGGAUGUCAGGAGUUCGAGUCUCCUAACCUCCACUGACCGAACUUGAUUCCCAUCUCCAAUUUUUUGGAGUUGAGCUCGAUUGGAGUGUGAUUUAGAUGUGUCCGCUGGAUGACCCCAGCUUCCUGUCAUUCCAAGUUUUAGAUUUUAAGUCUUGAAUUUGGUUGAUAAGAUGCUGGGCUCGGAUCAAGUGAUCAAGCAAUUGAUGAUUUGAUUUGAAGUUCUAGCAGAACCUUGACAACUGCAUAGGUGAGUCUGGAAAAAACAAAGCAUCUUACAGAUGCAUUGUUUUGAAUCUGAUCUUCUGAAAGGGAGAUUGGAUCUAGAACAAUGAAAAUUCUUUUGAGCAAGAGCCGAGACUCUUGAGCGUUCUUUGAUUGGUGUCGAGCCAAUCAGAGUUUGAUCUUGUUUUUAGCAAUAAAAACUUGAGAAUCUGCUUUCAACGGCGGUAAGCGUUCAGGAGGUUAAUUGGUCAAGCUACAAAGGGCUCACGGCGGAUACCUUGGCACACAGAGGCGAUGAAAGGA
rnacentral:tRNA from 1 species